GACGAACGCUGGCGGCGUGCUUAACACAUGCAAGUCGAGCGGUAAGGCCCUUUCGGGGGUACACGAGCGGCGAACGGGUGAGUAACACGUGGGUGACCUGCCCUUAGCUCUGGGAUAAGCCUGGGAAACUGGGUCUAAUACCGGAUAUGACUCCAUAACGCAUGUUGGUGGGGUGGAAAGCCUUGUGCGGCUAGGGAUGGGCCCG
rnacentral:rRNA from 1 species